rnacentral:rRNA from 1 species
CCAGAGAUGGAUUGGUGCCUUCGGGAACUGUGAGACAGGUGCUGCAUGGCUGUCGUCAGCUCGUGUUGUGAAAUGUUGGGUUAAGUCCCGCAACGAGCGCAACCCUUAUCCUUUGUUGCCAGCGGUUAGGCCGGGAACUCAAAGGAGACUGCCAGUGAUAAACUGGAGGAAGGUGGGGAUGACGUCAAGUCAUCAUGGCCCUUACGACCAGGGCUACACACGUGCUACAAUGGCAUAUACAAAGAGAAGCGACCUCGCGAGAGCAAGCGGACCUCAUAAAGUAUGUCGUAGUCCGGAUUGGAGUCUGCAACUCGACUCCAUGAAGUCGGAAUCGCUAGUAAUCGUAGAUCAGAAUGCUACGGUGAAUACGUUCCCGGGCCUUGUACACACCGCCCGUCACACCAUGGGAGUGGGUUGCAAAAGAAGUAGGUAGCUUAACCUUCGGGAGGGCGCUUACCACUUUGUGAUUCAUGACUGGGGUGAAGUCGUAACAAGGUAACCGUAGGGGAACCUGCGGUUGGAUCACCUCCUUACCUUAAAGAA